AUACGUAGGGUGCAAGCGUUAAUCGGAAUUACUGGGCGUAAAGCGUGCGCAGGCGGUUUUGUAAGACAGAGGUGAAAUCCCCGGGCUCAACCUGGGAACUGCCUUUGUGACUGCAGGGCUAGAGUACGGCAGAGGGGGGUGGAAUUCCGCGGGUCGCAGUGAAAUGCAUAGAUAUGCGGAGGAACACCGAGGGCGAAGGCGAUCCCCUGGGCCUGUACUGACGCUCAUGCGCGAAAGCGUGGGGAGCAAACAGGAUUAGAUACCCUGGUAGUCCACGCCCUAAACGAUGUCAACUGGUUGUUGGGUCUUCAUUGUCUCAGUAACGAAGCUAACGCGUGAAGUGGACCGCCUGGGGAGUGCGGCCGCAAGGUGGACACUCAAAUGAAUUGUCGGGG
rnacentral:rRNA from 1 species